rnacentral:rRNA from 1 species
GUUGGGGAGCCUAGCUCUUCGGUGUCGCCGCUAACGCUUUAAGCACACCGCCUGGGGAGUACGGCCGCAAGGCUGAAACUCAAAGGAAUUGACGGGGGCCCGCACAAGCGGUGGAGCAUGUGGUUUAAUUCGACGCAACGCGAAGAACCUUACCAGCCCUUGACAUGCCCGGUAUGGGCCCGAGAGAUCGGGUUCUUCGGUUCGGCCGGCCGGGACACAGGUGCUGCAUGGCUGUCGCCAGCUCGUGUCGUGAGAUGUUGGGUUAAGUCCCGCAACGAGCGCAACCCUCAUCUGCAGUUGCCAUCGGGCAACGCCGGGCACUCUGCAGAAACUGCCGGUGACAAGCCGGAGGAAGGCGGGGAUGACGUCAAGUCCUCAUGGCCCUUAUGGGCUGGGCUACACACGUGCUACAAUGGCGGUGACAGCGGGAUGCAAGGGGGCGACCCUGCGCCAAUCUCGAAAAGCCGUCUCAGUUCGGAUUGCUCUCUGCAACUCGAGAGCAUGAAGUCGGAAUCGCUAGUAAUCGCGGAUCAGCACGCCGCGGUGAAUACGUUCCCGGGCCUUGUACACUCCGCC